GGGAUGAAAGGUUCUGCUCAUUUUUAGCUGAUCAAAGGUUGGCCCGAAUGAAGAUUGAUGGACUAGAGGACUGGGAGAUAACUCGACGGACGGUGGAGGUCCUAUAGCUUAUCCUCUGCAGGAGUACGGCUCGGAGGGAAACUUGAUGAGCUGGUCUGGAUAAAGAUCGACUGGCUAAAAGGUCCAAAGAUAAUUCAACGGGCUGCGGAGGUUC
rnacentral:lncRNA from 1 species